rnacentral:rRNA from 1 species
AUUGAACGCUGGCGGCAGGCCUAACACAUGCAAGUCGAGCGAGCGGCGGACGGGUGAGUAAUGUAUGGGGACUGCCCGAUAGAGGGGGAUAACUACUGGAAACGGUGGCUAAUACCGCAUACUAUCGGAUAACCCAUAUGGGAUUAGCUAGUAGGUGGGGUAAAGGCUCACCUAGGUGACGAUCUCUAGCUGGUCUGAGAGGAUGAUCAGCCAAAUUGGCACUGGGAAACGGCCCAGACCCUUACGGAGGCAGCAGGGGGGAAUAUUGCACAAUGGGCGAAAGCCUGAUGCAGCCAUGCCGCGGGUAUGAAGAAGGCCUUAGGGUUGUAAAGUACUUUCAGCGGGGAGGCGUUACCCGAAGAAGAAGCACCGGCUAACUCCGUGCCAGCAGCCGCGGUAAUUC